rnacentral:rRNA from 1 species
CUCUUUUUGAAUUUAAUUUAAAGUUGGGCCUGCCCACUGAAUUUUGAAGGGCCGCAGUAUUUUGACUGUGCAAAGGUAGCAUAAUCAAUAGUUUUUUAAUUGAAAGCUUGUAUGAAUGGUUUGAUGAGAAAAUAUCUGUUUCAAUUUAAUAAAUAGAAUUUUAUUUUUAAGUAAAAAAGCUUAAAUAAAAUUUAAAGACGAGAAGACCCUAUAGAGUUUAACUAAAAAUGAAUUUUAAAAUUUAGGAAUUUAUAUAUUUAAAUUUUGUUUAAGUUUUGUUGGGGUGACUAAAAAAUUAGAUUAACUUUUUUUUUAUUAAAACAAAAAUUUUUGAUUUUUUGAUCCAUUAAAAUGAUUAAAAGAAUAAAUUACCUUAGGGAUAACAGCGUAAUUUUUUUUAAGAGUUCUUAUCGAAAAAAAAGAUUGCGACCUCGAUGUUGGAUUAAAAUUAAUUUUUGGUGUAGAAGCUAAAAUAUUGGGUCUGUUCGACCCUUAAAAUUUUACAUGAUCUGAGUUU